CCUACGGGUGGCAGCAGUGGGGAAUAUUGCGCAAUGGGCGAAAGCCUGACGCAGCGACGCCGCGUGAGGGAUGAAGGUCUUCGGAUCGUAAACCUCUGUCAGUAGGGAAGAACGGACACAGUGCUAAUCAGCAGUGAAUUGACGGUACCUGCAAAGGAAGCACCGGCUAACUCCGUGCCAGCCGCCGCGGUUAUACGGUGGGUGCGAGCGUUAAUCGGAAUUACUGGUCGGAAAGCGGUCGUUGGCGGUCUGUCAAGUCAAGGGUGAAAUCCCCGCGCUCAACGUGGGAACUGCCUUUGAAACUGGAAAACUGGAGUGUGUGAGAGGAUAGUGGAAUUCCAGGUGUAGGAGUGAAAUCCGUAGAUAUCUGGAGGAACAUCAGUGGCGAAGGCGACUAUCUGGCACAUAACUGACGCUGAGGAGCGAAAGCGUGGGUAGCAAACAGGAUUAGAUACCCGAGUAGUC
rnacentral:rRNA from 1 species